CAGAGGUCCUCUGAAAGCGUGGCUCCAGUUUGAGCUCAAUCCUUCUGAGAAUGUUCAUUCACACUUGGAGGGGGCAGCAUAUUUUGUAGGAAACACAUUAGCUUUGAAAUCAGAUAGAUCUGGAGCUGAACUAUGGUUUCAUUACUUUGAAGCUUCAUCUUGGGCAACUUUCUCGGCUACUCUAAGCCUUCAUUUCCUGUGAGAUGGUUAUGAAUGAGCCCCCAUUACUGUUAUGGAAGCAGCAUGUUGCAUCACUUGAGGACAGCAUUCCAUUAGCUAUCAGGAACACCCUCUCCUGUGAGCCCUGCCUGGCUCAAAAACUCUAUUAUCUGAGAAAUCCUAUCUGACAGCCCCACCUCACUGGUUAUUCCCCUUUCAGCCUUCCAAGCACUCAGAGAACCUGAUGGUCCACAACCUCUGAGGAAAAACUAACUCCCUAGGAGUUCCUUUAUGGUACAGUGGGUUAAGGAUCCAGAGCUGUCACUUAGAAGCCAGGGCUGCUGCCAUGGUACGGGUUCAAUUCCUGGCCCAGGAACUUCCACAUGCCAUGGGCACAGCAAAAAACAAUAAAAAUCUUGUGAAAAUUAAAAAAUAAAAAUAAAAAAGUGAGUAUUCCCUGUUGUGUAAGAGGGACAAAGUCCAGGAGUGUGUAUAAGAACCCAGUUGGUUCUGCCACUAAACAUGCUGUGGUUUGUUUAAUGAGGCUUAUACUCUCACCCUUCUCCAUAUCAUUGAGAACUAUGUCUAGACACUCAUGUUGCAACAGAAGAAAGGGUGGGGGAAAAAAUGUAAUUGUAAUGCAUACAUGUAAGGAUAACCUGACCCCUUGCUGUACAGUGGGAAAAUUAAAAAAAAAAAAAAAAUCUAUGAUUGCUAGUAUUUGUUUAAAAAAAAAAAAAAAAAAACUUAACGAACAGCAUACUUGAAUGAGGCAGAAAAGACGUCCAUAACCAGAAUGUAGUAGAAAUACGCUAUUGGGGUCAGACCAGCCACUUGCUAAAUUUUCAGCUGUAUCACUGGUGCUACGCUACCAGACCCUUUCUCCAGCCUGUGCGCUAACUUUUCUCUUCCUAUAAGACUCAACAGGGAUUUGUCCCCUAGUUUAAAAAAAAAAAAAAAAAAAAAAAAAAAAUCCUGAGGAGGUAGGUAUUAUCCUCACAAGAAAAAUAAGUUAAAUAACUUGCCCGAGAUCAUACAGCAGGUAAAUGGUGGAGCCAAGAUUCAAACCCAGGCAGGCUGGCUCUAGAGUCCAUGUUCUUAAUUAUUCCUCUAUAAUACGUCUUGCAAAAUGGGUAAUAUAUAAACAAGUGUUCCCUGAAGUGAAUAAAUGCCUAAGCAAGAAUAAAUCACACUGGGUGAUCUACCAUUUGACCCCACUAACAAUAUAUAAUAUAUAUUCAUAUAAAACAAUACAUAUAACAAAAUUGGAUGCUCUUCUAUGAGAAUUCCCUAACAGACUAAUCUUUGUCCUUUUGUCUGACUUAACAUUCGCUGGGGGGAGGAAGACCCAUUAUCCCUAAUCCUUACAACAGUUCUGCAAAAGGUUAGCAAGUAUUAUUGGCUCAAUUUACAAAUGUGUAAAUCAUGAUUGAAAAACUAGAGUAAUAGUUUGCCCAAACAUAGCUAGUUACUGACAGAGUCUUUUUCAAACUUAGAUCCCUCUAUUCUAAAGUACAUAUGCUUUUCUUUCUAUUCCACUCUUCCUCUUUAAAAUUAGAAAGUUCUAUAUGGAACUGGCACUAGAAUGACUCCUGAAACAUAAGUUAACAAUAGCAAAUGUUCUAUUUAUAUUAUAUACAUUGUAAUGGAGAAUACCAAAUACCUACAAGAGAAAAAUCUGUAAAGGAAUCUAGUUCCACUACUGAAUUAUAUUAAUGGUUGGAUCCUACGGGUAUUCCCAGAAGGAACUGGUCCAUAAGAUAGGGAAAUAAAGUGUCUGCCACUAUUAAAAAACUAUAUUUAUCCUGCAAGCAAAAAUUAAGUCAGUCUUUACUGGACACUACAAUAUACAAAACACUACAGACUGAGCCAAACUUUAGAAUCUUUCAAAUACAUCAGUGAAAAUCUAAUUCUUCUUGAAGACUCCAUGGUCUACUUACACAUUUAACAUACAGGUUUUACAGAUUUUUACUACCUACCUGUCAACAGCAAAAAAAUUCUUAGCGUUGUAGAGAUGAUCCUGCACCAGCAAUGUCCAAAGUCUCUUGACAGAGUCCUAGAGGCCCCCAGA
rnacentral:lncRNA from 1 species